rnacentral:lncRNA from 1 species
UUCUUUUUUUCUUUUUUAGUACUGUCGGGGAGAUUAUAGUUAGGGGCUCUUCUCUUAGGGUUUCGAGUUGGAACCUCUAGUCUCGGUCUCGUCUGACAGCAAGCUGUGUGGUCUAAUCCUAAUUAGCUAUAGGUCAUUCGUCCAUUAGUCGGUAUUCCGUUAGCAGUUCACGAAGUGAACGAGUGAAGGAGGGAUUGUCCAACUAAACGGUGUACAAUUAGUGAGGCGACUGAACGAAC